GUUUCACCAAGUUUGUGCAUUAGAAGUAUAUCCUUAGUUGCAUUUCCAGAAAGAUCGGAUUGACCAGAUGCUUUAAGAGCUCUUUUUGAUAUGGUCUUCUUCAUAGCCCCCUUCUUAUGAUGUUUCCUCCCAUCUUCUUCUUGUUGAAGUUGAAAAAUCAUAUCCUCUGCUGCACCAGGCCAAUAGUCUCCAUCAAAAUAGGGCAGGCGAGCUGCAGUGAUUUUAGCUUUACAUUCGC
rnacentral:misc_RNA from 1 species